CCGCCCCCUUCCCCUCAGCCGCCGCCACCGCCGCGCCACCUCCUGCCUCGGGCAGGGCCUUCGCCAGCCGCCGCGCUGCACUCGCCCGCCGUUCUGCUGUCCUGGUAAUGUUGCUAGAAGAAAGUUUUUUUCAAUCAGCAUCAGUGCAACCUGCAAAAGAGAAUCAGUUUGUGUACCAAAUGAUCUGUAAUACUACCCAGUUACAUCAGGGACCAAAUAUUUCCCAGGACUAAGUAAAAUUUUUGUAACAAAAUGUGCUAUGUAUUAAUGGGAUAUUUAAAACACUUCAAGAUAUUAUUUCUCCAAAAAUGCUGGUGGAUGUCAACAUGGCUUAGAUAAAGUACUUCCCUCUGGAAAAAUAUUUUGUAUGCUGCCGUAAGACUCACUAACUCCAUUUGUGGCAGUGGC
rnacentral:lncRNA from 1 species